rnacentral:rRNA from 1 species
GACGAACGCUGGCGGCGUGCUUAACACAUGCAAGUCGAACGGAAAGGCCCUGCUUUUGUGGGGUGCUCGAGUGGCGAACGGGUGAGUAACACGUGAGUAACCUGCCCUUGACUUUGGGAUAACUUCAGGAAACUGGGGCUAAUACCGGAUAGGAGCUCCUGCUGCAUGGUGGGGGUUGGAAAGUUUCGGCGGUUGGGGAUGGACUCGCGGCUUAUCAGCUUGUUGGUGGGGUAGUGGCUUACCAAGGCUUUGACGGGUAGCCGGCCUGAGGGGGUGACCGGCCACAUUGGGACUGAGAUACGGCCCAGACUCCUACGGGAGGCAGCAGUGGGGAAUAUUGCACGAUGGGCGGAAGCCUGAUGCAGCAACGCCGCGUGCGGGAUGACGGCCUUCGGGUUGUAGACCGCUUUCGCCUGUGACGAAGCGUGAGUGACGGUAAUGGGUAAAGAAGCACCGGCUAACUACGUG